GCCGGGACCACCCGGUAAGGCUAAAUACUCCCAAGAGACCGAUAGUGAACCAGUACCGUGAGGGAAAGGUGAAAAGAACCCCGAACAGGGGAGUGAAAUAGAACCUGAAACCAUACGCUUACAACCUGUCGGAGCGGCUUCGUGCCGUGACGGCGUGCCUAUUGAAUAAUGAGCCUACGAGUUACUAAUCACUGGCAAGGUUAAGUGCACGGAUGCACGGAGCCGAAGCGAAAGCGAGUCUGAAUAGGGCGUUUAGUCAGUGGUUGUAGACGCGAAACCUUGCGAUCUACCCUUGAGCAGGUUGAAGGUUGGGUAAAACCAACUGGAGGACCGAACGAAUAAGCGUUGAAAAGCUUCUCGAUGACUUGAGGGUAGGGGUGAAAGGCUAAUCAAGCUGGGAAAUAGCUCGUACUCCCCGAAAUGCCUUUAGGGGCAGCGUUGUAAUUAAGAGUCUACUGGAGGUAGAGCUACUGAUUGGAUGCGGGGGCUUCACCGCCUACCAAAUCCUGACAAACUCCGAAUGCCAGUAGUAUGAUUUACAGCAGUGAGCGACCGGGUGCUAAUGUCCGGUUACGAGAGUGGAACAACACAGACCAGCAACUAAGGUCCCCAAGAGUAUACUAAGUUGAUCUAACGAUGUUUUGCUGCAGAGACAGCUAGGAUGUUAGCUUGGAAGCAGCUAUUCAUUCAAAGAGUGCGUAACAGCUCACUAGUCGAGCGGCAAAGCGUGGAUAAUAAACGGGCAUCAAGUAUACCACCGAAGUUCUGGGCACGAAAGUGCGGUAGGGGAGCAUUCCAUUCCGCGUUGAAGCCGAACCGUGAGGUUUGGUGGAGUGUAUGGAAAAGCAAAUGUAGGCAUGAGUAACGAUAAUGCGGGAGAGUAACCCGCACACCGCAAGACCAAGGUUUCCUGAUCAACGCUAAUCGGAUCAGGGUUAGUCGGGUCCUAAGGGUAAGCCGAACGGUGAUCUCGAUGGAUAAUCGGUUAAUAUUCCGAUACUGACAUAUACCUCGAUGGAGAGACGAAGGAACGUAAGUGCCGCCACCUGACGGAAUAGGUGGUUAAAGGGCUUAGGUAUAGGGGCAGAUUAAGAGUUAGUCCUUGCUGAAACCUGACAGUACAGAGAGCCUACGGGCAAUUUGAUAGUGCACCCAAGUCGACUUCCGAGAAAAUCUUCUAAGUUAUAGUAUAUGUCACCCGUACCGUAAACCGACACAGGUGGUCGAGGAGAGUAUCCUAAGGUGCUCGAGUGAAUCACGGUUAAGGAACUAGGCAAAUUAACCCCGUAACUUCGGGAAAAGGGGUCCCAUCGCGAGGUGGGCGCAGCGAAGAGGUCCAGGCGACUGUUUAUCAAAAACACAGGGCUCUGCAAAUUCGAAAGAAGACGUAUAGGGCCUGACACCUGCCCGGUGCUGGAAGGUUAAGAGGGGAUGUCAUCGCAAGAGAAGCAUUGAAUCGAAGCCCCAGUAAACGGCGGCCGUAACUAUAACGGUCCUAAGGUAGCGAAAUUCCUUGUCGGGUAAGUUCCGACCUGCACGAAUGGUGUAACGAUCUGGACACUGUCUCAACCGUGAGCUCGGUGAAAUUGUAGUCCCGGUGAUGAUGCCGGGUACCCGCAACGGGACGAAAAGACCCCGUGAACCUUUACUAUAGCUUAACGCUGAAUUUGGGUACACAAUGUGUAGGAUAGGCAGGAGACUACGAAGCGGGCACGCCAGUGUUCGUGGAGUCGACGUUGAAAUACUGCCCUUUGUGUACUUGAGUUCUAACCCUCGAGAGGGGACACCGUUUGGUGGGUAGUUUGACUGGGGUGGUCGCCUCCAAAAGAGUAACGGAGGCUUCCCAAGGUACCCUCAGCACGAAUGGUAACCGUGCGUAGAGUGCAAUAGCAUAAGGGUGCUUGACUGUGAGACCAACAAGUCGAUCAGGUGCGAAAGCAGGGUAUAGUGAUCCGGUGGUUCUGCGUGGACUGGCCAUCGCUCAAAGGAUAAAAGGUACUCCGGGGAUAACAGGCUGAUCGCCGCCAAGAGCUCAUAUCGACGCGGCGGUUUGGCACCUCGAUGUCGGCUCGUCACAUCCUGGGGCUGGAGAAGGUCCCAAGGGUU
rnacentral:rRNA from 1 species